UUUUCGUUUUGAGCAUCUAAUAAUUCUUCAUCUUGAACAUGGUUUUAAGAUAAUGUGAUUGAGUUUUCAAGAUCCAUCAGGUGGGAAAACAAUAUUUUUUACCCUUGUACAUGAUCCAACAAAACCUGUUUCAUUUAUGAAGGAGAUAGAUAUGGUGGAUGAUUAAAGGUCAGUCAGUCACUUGACUGCUUUAUGCUGGAAAUUUGAUCAAUCUCCAGACAAUGAAAAUGAACUAGCAGUGUCUCACUUACCAAUAAAGCCUGCAGAAUAGGCUUAUAUAAAGGCUUUGUCUUGCAUAAUUCUUUUUGCAGUGACUUUGAUAUGUUCUGCAGAUACUCAAUGGAAACAUCAGCUGCAUAAAAUCGAUAAAAAGAUGUCGAAUGCAAUUCUUUCGAAAGGCUUUUCGAGAAGAACUCUCGAGUGGAGAUGAAUAUUUUAAGUCACCCACAAACUAAAACCAAUCACCAUUAUCGAGCAAGCUGGUUUAGACGCUUUCCCAUCAAUUCUUUCGCGUACAUACCUCGAAGCAAGACGAGAAGACAUUAAUGGUGUGCUUUCAAAAUAUUGCCAAACUAUAACAUAUACUUCUCUCUGGAUUUUGCUCAAAGAGCAGAAAAAGAUAAGUUAGAUGGAAUUUUCUGUACAUAUAAAGAAAUUAAAGAGAAACUCAUAAGAGAAAAAGUAAGAAAAAUUAAAACUUUGAGAGUAGAUUCAUUCGAAGAAUUAUCGUAAAAUAUUAUUUUUUCGAAAAAUUUUUGGUAUUGUUAUUAUUAUUAUUAUUGUAAUUUACGCAAGUGAAAUAAAGGAAUCCUUAGGAACAGAUAAUAUUAAGAUGA